CUGGUGAGUAACACGUGGGAAACCUGCCCAGAAGCGGGGGAUAACACCUGGAAACAGAUGCUAAUACCGCAUAACAACUUGGACCGCAUGGUCCGAGUUUGAAAGAUGGCUUCGGCUAUCACUUUUGGAUGGUCCCGCGGCGUAUUAGCUAGAUGGUGGGGUAACGGCUCACCAUGGCAAUGAUACGUAGCCGACCUGAGAGGGUAAUCGGCCACAUUGGGACUGAGACACGGCCCAAACUCCUACGGGAGGCAGCAGUAGGGAAUCUUCCACAAUGGACGAAAGUCUGAUGGAGCAACGCCGCGUGAGUGAAGAAGGGUUUCGGCUCGUAAAACUCUGUUGUUAAAGAAGAACAUAUCUGAGAGUAACUGUUCAGGUAUUGACGGUAUUUAACCAGAAAGCCACGGCUAACUACGUGCCAGCAGCCGCGGUAAUACGUAGGUGGCAAGCGUUGUCCGGAUUUAUUGGGCGUAAAGCGAGCGCAGGCGGUUUUUUAAGUCUGAUGUGAAAGCCUUCGGCUCAACCGAAGAAGUGCAUCGGAAACUGGGAAACUUGAGUGCAGAAGAGGACAGUGGAACUCCAUGUGUAGCGGUGAAAUGCGUAGAUAUAUGGAAGAACACCAGUGGCGAAGGCGGCUGUCUGGUCUGUAACUGACGCUGAGGCUCGAAAGUAUGGGUAGCAAACAGGAUUAGAUACCCUGGUAGUCCAUACCGUAAACGAUGAAUGCUAAGUGUUGGAGGGUUUCCGCCCUUCAGUGCUGCAGCUAACGCAUUAAGCAUUCCGCCUGGGGAGUACGGCCGCAAGGCUGAAACUCAAAGGAAUUGACGGGGGCCCGCACAAGCGGUGGAGCAUGUGGUUUAAUUCGAAGCUACGCGAAGAACCUUACCAGGUCUUGACAUACUAUGCAAAUCUAAGAGAUUAGACGUUCCCUUCGGGGACAUGGAUACAGGUGGUGCAUGGUUGUCGUCAGCUCGUGUCGUGAGAUGUUGGGUUAAGUCCCGCAACGAGCGCAACCCUUAUUAUCAGUUGCCAGCAUUAAGUUGGGCACUCUGGUGAGACUGCCGGUGACAAACCGGAGGAAGGUGGGGAUGACGUCAAAUCAUCAUGCCCCUUAUGACCUGGGCUACACACGUGCUACAAUGGAUGGUACAACGAGUUGCGAACUCGCGAGAGUAAGCUAAUCUCUUAAAGCCAUUCUCAGUUCGGAUUGUAGGCUGCAACUCGCCUACAUGAAGUCGGAAUCGCUAGUAAUCGCGGAUCAGCAUGCCGCGGUGAAUACGUUCCCGGGCCUUGUACACACCGCCCGUCACACCAUGAGAGUUUGUAACACCCAAAGUCGGUGGGGUAACCUUUU
rnacentral:rRNA from 2 species